AGAUACCGUUCAGCACUAGAGGACUUAGACACAAGACCUAAAACCCUAGAAGACCCCAAGAGCAGCCAAACCGCCGCCGCCCCAUCGCCGGAUUCCAACGGCUACCCAAAAACGACCACCGCCACCUCAUCUCUAACUCCCGUCGUGUAGUUUCCUAAAGCAACAACGCCCACCACCCCCUUUAACCAAAAAAUCAUCGGAAUUCCUCCAUGACCGCCCCACCCCUGAAAAGUCCAUCGUCGGCGUAUACCAAAAGUAGAAGAUUUCUGCUGUUUCCCCCAUUGUCGACCCCUAGGUUUUGAACCUCAGAACAACCAUCUUCUUCGCCACAAAAUCCAACAGAGAACCUUCCCCAACCUAACACACAAACACCUUGAACACCCUUGGACCAGUCAUCACUCUAUUCUUACAUUGCAAAAAUCAAUUUCAUAUAGACACCUAACCUAGAAAAUCGGCAGACCAUCCCUAAAAAGAAAAAACCGCUGAAAAUCUGCCAAGAAUGGACAGAAAGAGAGAGGAAUGGAAAUAGAGCUAAAAAAAAAUAUUUCUGUUUUCUUAUUCAGUCUUUUUGAUUUUCGUCUCAAAAUUGGAGUUUCGUCGAGGUUGAUUUCGAUUCG
rnacentral:lncRNA from 1 species